CAGCAGCCGCGGUAAUACGUAGGGUGCAAGCGUUAAUCGGAAUUACUGGGCGUAAAGCGUGCGCAGGCGGUUUGUUAAGACAGAUGUGAAAUCCCCGGGCUCAACCUGGGAACUGCAUUUGUGACUGGCAGGCUAGAGUAUGGCAGAGGGGGGUGGAAUUCCGCGUGUAGCAGUGAAAUGCGUAGAUAUGCGGAGGAACACCGAUGGCGAAGGCAGCCCCCUGGGCCAAUACUGACGCUCAUGCACGAAAGCGUGGGGAGCAAACAGGAUUAGAUACCCCAGUAGUCCCUGUCUCUUAUAC
rnacentral:rRNA from 1 species